rnacentral:misc_RNA from 1 species
GGCACUGCGGAGUAGCGGGUCUCUGAUGGCGAAGCGCCCUUUUGGCUUUCGCGGGGUGCGCUGCUGGCGUACGCGGCGCCUUCUUCUCCGCACUCCCCUCGCACUCGCUGUCCUUGUAGCUGUCAGCCUCGUCGCGGUGUUGUGGUUUUCUGCCGACGAGAAUACAGGCGUGUCGGAGAUACCGAGUGAGCGCCACUUUUUUCCGCCGGCAAAGCACGACGCAAACGACGAGGGCGAAGAGGUCGAUGCCGACGGCAAGAUCGCGUUUCGCCGGCCCUCCUCCGUUUCUACGAAGACACUUGCUCCUGCAGAAGAGACGCGAAACGGCGUAGGCACGGUCUGGUUCAGCCCCAAUACCAGCAAUUUUCUCGAUCGCAACACGUCGCGGCUGCACUCCAUCUUCACCUCUGCCGGCAAGGUACGUGUUGCUCUUCCGUUCGGCGUCCACGCAGACACCGGUGCAUUUGUGGCGCAGAAGCCGCGGCUGUUUGCAUUCAUAGCAUCAUGGAACACCUAUGAACGUGCACUGAAGGCGCGUGGCGAACAGAGCGCCGCUUCUGCCGCCGUCGCAGAUUUUAACGAGGAGCUGCAGGCUUUUGCGCGGAGAAGAGUAGCGCCCGUGAAGCAUGUUGAGGUGCGUCUGUUGCGACAGCGUGCAUCACGAAGUACGUGGGCAACUGAGACGGAGACCGCGCUGCCCAUCGUCGGCAUCCUUCCUCGCGAAUCGACGACGCUAGUGUCCGCAGAGGAGUUGCUCGUGAAAAGUGCUGUGGACCAGGAAGGCUUCGCGCCUUUGGUGGCGGCGGUACAGCCAGGCAGUGAUAACAAGGAGUCGACUGUCGUAGGCAUCGACACGCGCUUGCGCGUGUCGGCAGCCAAAGGGCUCGGCGGUGGUGCAAACCGCGGUGCAGGCGGUAGCACCUCUCUGCUACCCUUCCCCUUACUAGAGUUGAGCAGCGUUCCUCGGCGCCGCGCCACGUCUUCGGCAUCCGCCACGCCGGCGAGCCCCGAUACUUCCCCCGCGACAGCGCUGUUGAAGUGGCGCACCAGCCGCAUGACGGCGUCGGCCAGCGGCGAGGCACUGGAGAUCACCCUCGACAUUGCCCAUCCCAGUCGUUCAAGCUCAGAUGGCCCGUUGCGUGCAGAGGAGAACGAGAGGACUCGUCCGGGAGCCCGAGACGACACUAACGCCGCUGCCCUUGAGGCCACCGUGUGCAGUGCGCGUCUUGUUCGCCUCUAUGGCUUCAGUCCUUCCUUCUCGUCGGCUCACACUCACGGCGGCUCUGUCGAUGUCAGCUCGGCGGUGGCGGCAGGCGGGCUCAACUUGAUUCCGUUGAACAUGUCCGAGGAGGUAGAGCUGAUGGUCGGUGGCGAAAUGCAGCUGCCGUCUGGAGACGCACGGCUGAACGGCGUUGUACCCCUUCUCUACCUGGAGCUCUCCAGCAACAGUGCUGCAGACAGGCAGCAGGGCGCUGCGACAGCUGGACGCCAAACGGUGGGGCUGCUAUGGCUGCACCCUGGCUCCUUUUUUGUCUCCACCGUGACUUUGCCUAACCCCACCGCCGGCCACGAGCCACAAUGCACGUGCGUACGGCUGCGCGGCACCGCCGGCGCUACCGGGCUGUAUCUGCUUCCGGGGCCGACGCCGGUGGAGGUGCUUCGCCAGUACUACACUCUCACCGGGUUCCCCACCCUUCCUCCACGAUUUCUCUUGGGGUAUCAUCACGGCUUACGAGGCGCCGUCGCUACCACACAACAGGCCGCCGAGGACCUUAGUGAAGCCUUUCGAAGCGCCGGUGCACCGCUGGACAGUGUGUGGCUCACUGACCCCGCAGUGGCGGCGGGCGAUACUCCGUUCACGUGGAACCGCUCCCGCUUCCCGGAUCCGCUGGCGCUGCAGUCGAACUUGUGGUACCGGGGCCGACGCUACGUGGUUUUGCGCAGUGUCCCCACCGUCCCGAUAACGACUCGCUCUCCGUUGCUGCUCGAGGGCCGCCGCGGGGGCCUUUUUGUAUCUCUGAGCGCCGCGGACACGGCGGGGUGGCCGGUGCUCAGCAUGGAUGGGGUGCCGAGCCACGUCGUCGACUUUUACAACCCGGCAGCACGCAAGUGGUACGGCGGCAUGCUCAAGUACCGGCGCUACGUCGGCUCCUCAAACCACACGUUCAUCAGCCUUCAGCAUAGCGGGCCCACCGUGCUGUCGAGUGCGGCGCCGCCCCAGGGGAAGGAGGCACUGCUGUGUCUGCCACCUGGCUUGCGGGCCAGAGGCGAGCAGCUGCCGAUGGACGUGGGUCACUAUGGCGGCGUUCACCAUCGUCAAGUGCAUCAGCUGCUUACCGUGCACUUUGUGCGUGCGACACACGAUGGCAUGCUGCGUCGGACUCGCUAUCGCCGACGCGCUUUGACGUUCACCGAGAGCUACUUCGUUGGCACGCAGCGGUACGCGGUGGUGCGGGUGGAGACGCGGCCGCGGUGCGCUAGCGGCGUGCGUCCCGAUUCGGCUGCGAUUCUGACGGAGGCGUGGCGCGCUCUUCAGACAGCCGUGCAUCAGUGUACGCAGCUGGGAGCACUCGGCAUUCCCUUUAGCGGCGCUAACCUCGCGGAUGGUCUUGUGUCGCGUUUGCUGUUGCUGCAGCUGGCGAAGUCAGCGAGCACCACUGCGACACUCACCGCCCCUCUGGCAGGCGUUGCAGGCGAAGGUGGCGGCGACGGCGGCGCCGUGGGCGCGAAUGGCGAGCUGACGGCACCGCCUGCUCUGUCGCCAGGCGCUAUGGAGGAGAUGGAGCAGCUUCUGGUACGGUGGUACCAAGCAGGCGUCUUCUUUGGUGCGAUGUACGCCGAAGAGUCAGCGGCGGCAGUCGACGCGACAGACACUGGUGCUGUUGUUUCAUUGCAGCCGUCAGCGACGGGUCCGUGGUGGAUGCGGCUGCCUGUCACCGCGGCCACUCGCAAAGCCAUCCACGCUAACCUCCACGCCCGGUAUGCGCUGCUGCCCUACUUCUACACUGCCGCCUAUCACGCUAGCGAGGAAGGGGCUAUCUUCCUGGCACCGUUGGCGUUCACCUCGUCGGAGGCAUCGCCGCUCAGCCAGAAGACGGCCAUGCCGACCUGCUACGCUGCAGGUAGUGCUUUGAUUGUGUGCCCUGUCACUCAACCUGUGCAUCCCCCGCGAGAUACAUCGAGGAGCGACGGCACUCGCAGCGCAGACUGUAAGGGCUUUUUCGACUUGUGGACAGGAGCGUGGCAUAGCGCCGCUUUUUCUGUUGCGAAACACGCGUCGUGGUGGGAAGGAGCGGCACAAUAUUCCGCGCAGAAUCGCGCACUGGCUUCUGAGGAGCUCGGGUGGUUGGCGGCCGACGACGCCGUCCCCCUCCAAGAUCUUCCCGUGGCGACGUCUCUUGCGCCUGUGCUGCUACGCAGUGGACACAUUGUGGCGACUCAAAACGUUGCCGCCUCUCGGGUGAACAGCACACACAUAGGGAACGGCGAAGUCGUCGGUGACGCGCACGCGCCGUACAGCACGCACGUGGGGGCAAAUUGGACCCUCACCGUGGCACUGCCGCCUUUGCCAGCCGCGCAAGAUGUUGCCACCCCAUCGCCGGUGCUUCUCGCCGAAGGUGACGUCUUCUGGGACGAAGGUAGCCACAACAGCCAGCACAGGCCUCCAACCAUGAAGCCCGGUUCCUCGGUGCCGCCGGAUAUGCCCCACAUCCCGGCAAAUGUACACCACUGCGCGCUGCACAUGAAGUGCCUCUACGAAGGAGCAGAGACAUUGGAGGAGACGGCGCGACUGACGGUGGAAGUGGCACAGACGUCCGAAUCGUGCGCGGAGGCGUUGGCAGAACUCGUGUCGCACUGGAACGAGGAGCCGCAGGGGUUCGCCGAGCGCCUGGCGAACGCAAAGGCGCACAGAGACGCGCGACUUCAUGAGCUGAAAGUGCUGCAGAACGAGCAGGAAGACAAGGGCCUGCGUGGUGGCAGAGGUGGGGCAACCGACUAUCCUGACGCUUCGGCGCUUAAAGGCGAAGACCUGAGAGGACUCCACUUGCCUAACGCACACGACGAAGCCACGCGCAACGAUAUUUGGGCGUCGCAUCUCCUUCAGCGUCUCCGUUUUCUCUUUCAGCGCGGAGAGGAUGCGGCACGCCUCUCACCGAGAUCGUCUACAUCUCGAGCGACGACAGUUUUCGUAGAGCGGCGCAGUAGCACUGGCGGCACGCCAGGCGCGCAGGCGGAUGAAGAGAGUGCUGUGAGAGCAAGUGUUCGUGCGUCCCACGACAUGCCUGACACACACGUGGUUCUCGUGCAUCUGAUUUCUGAUGUGCAGGAGGAAGGGACAGCAGGGUCGGUGUUUGGCGCCCGUAAAGUCGUGCUCGCAGACGGCUCUGUCGGCGUUCGCGUGCCACCUCGCCACACGUGGAGGUUCACCUUUUCCCUGGUGAAUUAGGCGGACUGGUUGCAAGCGUGGACGGAGCGGUUCGGGCAUGGAGGAGGGAGACGCCGCUGCCUCGACAGACGUCGUCGAUACGUCCCCCCUCUUUGUGCUUCGCUCUCUCCUCUGUGGAGUGCUUGUGUGUUUGUCCGCCUGCGUCACGGCUAGCCUGCUGCGCUCCACGGCGCUUAGAAAUGAAGGAGGAAGCAAAAGGCGCUGCCCGAAUACUCUUGUUUUUUUUCAUUUUUCUUUUUUGUUUUUACUCUUCUCUGCUUUAUCUUGCUGCACCCCCCCCCCCGGGGGUUGGAGCCCGUAGUCCCUUCGCGUAACUGCUGUCGUCUCUCUCUCUCGCUCUUACGCCGUGUUUUAGGUGGCAUCCUUGCGCAAAGGGGGAAGGGGUGCAACGUACUUGUCAUUAUUAUAUAAUUUGUGUGUGUGUGUGCGUGGGGGGGCGGGGGGUCGUCGUAUCGUGACCGCACCUGGCCUAUUUCGGUCCACCGCCUGAUGUGCGCCCGCAGGUGGCUCCACUCGACUAUUUUUGGUUUGGUUGCUGUAGUGUGCACAGCUGGACCUCAUCUCCCCUCCCUGCGGUCGCCGUGUUGUGUUCUUGCGGGCAUUUCUCUCUCCUCUCAUCUGCCCUUUGUAUCUUCUACGUGUAUCUCCCCUCCUCUAUUCUUUCGCUCGUUAUCUUUCCAACUCCCACGCUGGCACACCAUCACCUCCGUGGUAGCGAAUUCCCUUGUGCAAACGGACUCGCUACUGCGGGCGAGCUGCAGGCUCAGCACUCACUUUUGUUGUGUCCUGCGCUGCCACGAGUAG